rnacentral:rRNA from 1 species
AACGAACGCUGGCGGCGUGGCUAAGACAUGCAAGUCGAAGGGUCAAAAUGAUUCCCGAGCAAUCGGGAUGAAAGACGACUGGCGAAAGGGUGAGUAAUGCAUGGGCAACGUACCCCUGGCUCCGGGACAGCGUCGUCCGCUUCGGCGGACUACCGAAAGGGGCGGUAAUACCGGAUAACAUCCUCCUGUCUCCUGGCGGGAGGAUCAAAGGUCCGCCGGCCGGGGCGCGGCCCAUGUCGUAUCAGCUUGUUGGUGGGGUAACGGCCUACCAAGGCUUCGACGCGUAGCGGGACUGAGAGGUUGGCCCGCCACAUCGGGACUGAGACACUGCCCGGACACCUACGGGUGGCUGCAGUAACGAAUCUUCCGCAAUGGGCGCAAGCCUGACGGAGCGACGCCGCGUGCAGGAGGAAGUCCUUCGGGAUGUAAACUGCUGUCAGGGGCUAGGAAGGUAUGACCGGCC